rnacentral:rRNA from 1 species
UACGAAGGGGGCUAGCGUUGCUCGGAAUUACUGGGCGUAAAGGGCGCGUAGGCGGCGCAACAAGUCACUUGUGAAAUCUCCGGGCUUAACUCGGAAAGGUCAAGUGAUACUGUUGUGCUAGAGUGCGGAAGGGGCAACUGGAAUUCUCGGUGUAGCGGUGAAAUGCGUAGAUAUCGAGAGGAACACCUGCGGCGAAGGCGGGUUGCGGGGCCGACACUGACGCUGAUGCGCGAAAGCCAGGGGAGCGAACGGG